GAAAACAAGUUGGUUGCUCAUAGGUCAUCCACCAGAUAGUGCGAAAAGAAAAGAUGGCUGCAACCCGUGCUUGGCUAUUGGUUGUGUUACUAGCAUGCGUUUGCUUGGCGAAAGAAAAUAAUGCAGCAGGCAUCGAUUACGGUGCCGUCAAAGGAGGUGACGGUAUUGCUUGUGGACCUGGACAUCAAAAGAAUUGUCAUCCUCAAUCAUCAGGGCCUUACAAAAGAUCAUGCAGCAAAAUAGAAGAGUGUAGAGGAGAUCUAAUGGACACGGGAGCGAGAGUUUAACAUGAUGAAAAUUUUCCAAAGACAAAGUUGGGGAAGAGAAUGAAAGAUGCCGAAAAUUUGUUGCUUCACCCACAAUAAGUGCCAACUCCCAUGUGAGUUUUUAAAACAUGCAUGGGAAGGAGAUGAAAUCUCUAUUUUUUUUUUUUUUUUGUUCGAGCUACAGCAUAAGCGCAUCAAUAUCUAUCAUAUCUGAUUAGUUUUUUUUGUAUUUUACAAUAAGUUCCUCAAAUUAUGGAGGAAGUUGGUUUGCGCUAUGUUGUUAAAUUAUUUCAUUUUUAUCAAUUAUGCCUUGCUCCACAAUGGUGUAUCGCUUCUUCAUAGAGGUAGUUCAUAAUUGUUUACCCAAAAAAAAAAAGGUAGUUCA